GACAGAGGGUGCAAACGUUGUUCGGAUUUACUGGGCGUAAAGGGCGCGUAGGCGGUCGUGACAAGUCACUUGUGAAAUCUCCGGGCUUAACUCGGAACGGUCAAGUGAUACUGUCGGACUAGAGUACAGAAGGGGCAACUGGAAUUCUCGGUGUAGCGGUGAAAUGCGUAGAUAUCGAGAGGAACACCUGCGGCGAAGGCGACUUUCUGGCCUAUAACUGACGCUGAGGCGCGAAAGCGUGGGGAGCAAACAGG
rnacentral:rRNA from 1 species